CCUACGGGAGGCAGCAGUGGGGGAUAUUGCACAAUGGGGGGAACCCUGAUGCAGCGACGCCGCGUGGGUGAAGAAGCGCCUCGGCGUGUAAAGCUCUUUCAGCAGGGAAGAAAAUGACGGUACCUGAAGAAGAAGCACCGGCUAACUACGUGCCAGCAGCCGCGGUAAUACGUAGGGGGAAAGCGGUAUCCGGAUUUACUGGGGGUAAAGGGGGCGCAGACGGCGAUGCAAGCCAGGAGUGAAAGCCCGGGGCCCAACCCCGGGACUGCUCUUGGAACUGCGUGGCUGGAGUGCAGGAGGGGCAGGCGGAAUUCCUGGUGUAGCGGUGAAAUGCGUAGAUAUCAGGAGGAACACCAGUGGCGAAGGCGGCCUGCUGGACUGCAACUGACGUUGAGGCCCGAAAGCGUGGGGAGCAAACAGGAUUAGAUACCCCAGUAGUC
rnacentral:rRNA from 1 species